UUUGGGGCACUUCUGUCUCCUCUGUGUAGUUGGUAGUUUGGGUGGUGAAGAGAUGCCUGACAGUGUUAAAACCUUUCUCCAGGACCUUGGCAGGGGAAUCAAAGAUUCCUUUUGGGGUAUUUUUACAGUCUCCAAGCUGUGUGCUUGAAUCCAGCAAAAGGGAGAGGAGCAGCAUUGAAGAAAGGCAAGUAGUAUCCUGGCACAGAGGAGCUAAGAACAUAGAGUAAGAGUGAGAGAGUGAGCCAUGUAUUGUUAGUAGAAUUUUUCAGUGUUGCACUUGGAAUGGUGGAGUGUUCUGGUCCAGUCUCCUCCUGCUUUAUUGAGUGUUUAUUCUUCUGCUUUGGUCAGUGACACCCUGAAUUAUUGGUGAUCUAUCAUGACAUGGAGAUGCUCAGUCAUGGCUAGAAUUCUUCCUCAUGUCAACCUCCAGUGCUCAUUGGGUGCUCCCCUUGUUUGUGCCUAGCAAAGUUGUCAAUGCCAUUUGGUUUCAAGAUAUAGCUGACCUGGCAUUUGAGAAACCAGUGAGGAAGCCUCACCCAUUCCCUAGUGUCUGCAAAAUAAUUGCUGACAUGCUCUCCAACCUUUUGCUGCAGGCUCUUUUCCUCAAUCAAGGAGUGUUUGUGGGUCUCUUUCCCAUCCAUAUUGUUGUUCAGCUGGUUAGUCUCCUGCAUAUGUCUCUUCUCUACUCACUGUGCUGCUUCAAACAUUGUUGGUUCAAUAAAGGAAUGAAGUGCACCAGCAGUUGCCUAACAUAGAAAGGAACUGGUCUUACUACUUUGGGUUUGGUUUGCCCUUGGCUUUUCUCACGGCAAUGCAGUCUUCAUUACCAGUGCAGCCAUAUUAUCAGUGGCUGCCUCAUCUCUAUCCUUGUUCCUUUAUUCCUCUAUCCUUGUUCUUUAUCAGCACCAAUGAAGCAAAGACCCCUGGCACAGCGUACCUCUUCCAGUUGUGCCUCUUGCCCUUGGUGGUCUUCCUAAGCACCAGACUCUUACAGGACAGUCUACCUGCAGUCUGCCCUGAGCAGCUUAACCUCUUUAGGGAAGUUCCCUUCACUGCAUCCAUCUCCUGCCAAACUGAA
rnacentral:lncRNA from 1 species